UACGUAGGGGGCUAGCGUUGUCCGGAAUCAUUGGGCGUAAAGCGCGUGUAGGCGGUCCGGUAAGUCCGCUGUGAAAGUCGGGGGCUCAACCCUCGAAUGCCGGUGGAUACUGUCGGGCUAGAGUGCGGAAGAGGCGAGUGGAAUUCCUGGUGUAGCGGUGAAAUGCGCAGAUAUCAGGAGGAACACCGGUGGCGAAGGCGACUCGCUGGACAAGUAUUGACGCUGAGGUGCGAAAGCGUGGGGAGCAAACAGG
rnacentral:rRNA from 1 species